rnacentral:tRNA from 2 species
GGAAGAUGCCGCUAAAUGGUCGGCAACUGGUCUUGAAAACCAGGGUACAGUCAACUGUAGGGGUUCGAUUCCUCCAUCUUCCGCC